rnacentral:lncRNA from 1 species
CACAAGAAGAGACUGAAUAAAAAUGUUUGUAUUUCUAACCUAAGUAGGAAAAGUUCAGUUUAGCCUGGAUCAAAGCCUUCCUGUGGGUCACAAAUACAUACAGCACACACAGCUGAUAGCUCCAAAUCUGUGCCCUUUCCUGCACACCUGUUCAGGGUGAUAAAAAAUGACCUUCUCACAGCAAAGGCUAUGACCCUGAUGUUCCAAGUCUAUGUGUGGAGGGAAACUGGAACUGCUUGGAAAAAAGUUAGUUUGCCCUGCAUAAAUUAGAGUUUGUGUCUAGGUUAGGAUGCAUUGUCACACUCGGACACCAUGACAGACAGCUCUGCCAGUGAUGGGUACAUUCAGCCAGUGGGGAGCAAGGCCCACCUUCAUGCAUGCAGCCCUGCUGCGAAGCCUCUAUAGGUUAAACCUCAGAAGCAUUGUCACCAGAGAUGAGCUUCGUUAGAUUUUGAGAAACUGGCAUUAAAUAAACAACAGUACAUUAAAGCUUGUGUUUACCAAGUAGUUUAUAAGCAUUAGGUAGGUGCACCACCACCUGUAGUUUGUGGAACUACAUUAAUGAAACCACACAUUUCAACACUUGACAUUCAAAAGGCAAUAAUUUGAAAGCUAUAUCAGCCAAGCAAAAGUGAACUGGGUCUAUAGAAACAAGGGCUGAAGGAAAUCAGUCUGAGUUUGAAGGAAAAUCAGGUCGGUAUCUCUGAGAACUGAAUGCAGACAGAAACUCAGUUAGCACUGGUUUCCAAAAUUCAGUGACCAUAGUAAACGUGGAAAACUUGGAGAACAUUUCUAAAUGG